rnacentral:lncRNA from 1 species
UUCAUUAUGUACCUGACUUGGGGAUUCCCUUUAGUCUGUAUGUCUUAGGGUUUUACAUAUUGUGUUCAUUCAAAACUGAUUUUUCAGAGCCUGUUGUAUUUUGUGUACUUCAAAAAUAACAUUUUAAACAAUAUAAAAAUCAGUAACAUUUUAAGAUACAUUUGCUCCCAUUGACAUUUUCUUAGAGUUAAAAUAGUAUUUGGUACAGUAGAAUAUCAUUCUUGUGUUUUUGAUACCGUAAUUAUUUUUAAGUACAUUGUGUGUAUGCAGCAAAAGUUUUAAAAAAUAAACUUAUUAACUAAAAAGUAAAAGUUCGAAUUUUCACAAAAACAGUGGUAUUGCUGAUGUUUUUAAAAAGUCAUAAAUUAUGAAAAAAAUCACAUUAUGAUUUAAGCAGAUGCCUUAGGUAUUACAUGAAACAUCCAGUUUUUAUAAAACCUUUAGAAUACAAAAACCCAAUCUAACUUGUUUAUAAGGGUAAAAAUACAUGUUUUUUACCUUUCCAUUGCAUUUACCCAGGAAUUGAGUUUACUUUCUAGUAUGGUGUACCGCUAUAUAAUUACAAGAUUUUUAAUUAGUUUGGUUGAGCCAUCUGUGAAACAAAGAGAUUGGACAAGACGACCUUGAUUCUUUUGCAAAUAUUUGACCCAUUGGCCUUUGUUCCAUGUGUUAUGACCUAUUCUAGUUGUGUGUUUUGGUUUUGUUUUUUUUAAGCCUUUUCCU